rnacentral:rRNA from 1 species
CGGCAAUUGCUCAAAUUUGAAAUCUGACUUCUUUUUGAGGUCCGAAUUGUAAUUUGUAGAGGAAGCUUUUGGUGAGGUGCCGCCCGAGUUCCCUGGAACGGGACGCCACAGAGGGUGAGAGCCCCGUCUGGCUGGCCACCGAGCCUCUGUAAAGCUCCUUCGAC